rnacentral:rRNA from 1 species
UACGGGGGGGGCAAGCGUUGUUCGGAAUUACUGGGCGUAAAGGGCUCGUAGGCGGCCAACUAAGUCGGACGUGAAAUCCCCAGGCUCAACCUGGGAACUGCGUCCGAUACUGGAUGGCUUGAAUUCGGGAGAGGGAUGCAGAAUUCCAGGUGUAGCGGUGAAAUGCGUAGAUAUCUGGAGGAACACCGGUGGCGAAGGCGGCAUCCUGGACCAACACUGACGCUGAGGAGCGAAAGCCAGGGGAGCAAACGGG